AAGGUUUCCGUAGGUGAACCUGCGGAAGGAUCAUUGUCGAAACCUGCAAAGCAGACCCGCGAACGUGUGUUUAACCACAAGGGUGUCGGGGCGUGUGGGGGACGAAAGUCCUCCCGCGCGCCGGCCCCCUUGCCCGUGCGACGCUCGCGUGGCACGGGCUAACGAACCCCGGCGCGGCAUGCGCCAAGGAAAACAAACAAAGAAGAGUCGUUCGCUUGCUGCCCCGUUCGCGGGUGCCAGUCGGCGAACACGACCUAUCUUGAAAGUCAAAACGACUCUCGGCAACGGAUAUCUCGGCUCUCGCAUCGAUGAAGAACGUAGCGAAAUGCGAUACUUGGUGUGAAUUGCAGAAUCCCGUGAACCAUCGAGUCUUUGAACGCAAGUUGCGCCCGAAGCCAUUAGGCCGAGGGCACGUCUGCCUGGGCGUCACGCAUCGCGUCGCCCCCUCCCAAUUCCUUGGGAUGGGGCGGACAUUGGCCUCCCGUGCGCUCCAGCGUGCGGCCGGCCUAAAUGUGAUCCCGCGUCGACGGAUGUCACGACUAGUGGUGAUUGUGAUCCUUCUCAACUGGCAUGACGUCGUGUCUGUCACCGUCGAUCGUUCGGGCAUCGUUUUGACCCAACGGCGCUUAAUUGCGCUUUCGACCGCGACCCCAGGUCAGGCGGGACUA
rnacentral:rRNA from 1 species